rnacentral:pre_miRNA from 1 species
AUUCUACUCCCUCCGUUCCACAAUACAUGCCUUCUAUUUGUCAAAAUAUAGAUGUAUCUAAACAUGUUUUAGUAUAUAGGUACAUCCAUUUUUGGACAAAUGGAAGUCAAGCAUUUUGGAAUGGAGGGAGUACACA